rnacentral:rRNA from 1 species
GCGGGUGAAAAACCCGCACGCCGGAAGACCAAGGGUUCCUGUCCAACGUUAAUCGGGGCAGGGUGAGUCGACCCCUAAGGCGAGGCUGAAAGCGUAGUCGAUGGGAAACGGGUUAAUAUUCCCGUACUGGUGGUAACUGCGAUGGGGGAACGGAGAAGGCUAGGUUGUCCGGGCGACGGUCGUCCCGGUUCAAGCAUGUAGGCAGAGUGAUUAGGCAAAUCCGGUCACUUAAUGCUGAGGUGUGAUGACGAACCACUAAGGUGGUGAAGCAAUUGAUGCCCUGCUUCCAGGAAA